rnacentral:rRNA from 1 species
GACGAACGCUGGCGGCGUGCCUAAUACAUGCAAGUAGAACGCACAGGAUGCACCGUAGUUUACUACACCGUAUUCUGUGAGUUGCGAACGGGUGAGUAACGCGUAGGUAACCUGCCUGGUAGCGGGGGAUAACUAUUGGAAACGAUAGCUAAUACCGCAUAAGAACAUUUACUGCAUGGUAGAUGUUUAAAAGGUGCAAAUGCAUCACUACCAGAUGGACCUGCGUUGUAUUAGCUAGUAGGUGAGGUAACGGCUCACCUAGGCGACGAUACAUAGCCGACCUGAGAGGGUGAUCGGCCACACUGGGACUGAGACACGGCCCAGACUCCUACGGGAGGCAGCAGUAGGGAAUCUUCGGCAAUGGGGGGAACCCUGACCGAGCAACGCCGCGUGAGUGAAGAAGGUUUCCGGAUCGUAAAGCUCUGUUGUUAAGGAAGAACGAGUGUGAGAAUGGAAAGUUCAUACUGUGACGGUACUUAACCAGAAAGGGACGGCUAACUACGUGCCAGCAGCCGCGGUAAUACGUAGGUCCCGAGCGUUGUCCGGAUUUAUUGGGCGUAAAGCGAGCGCAGGCGGUUAGAUAAGUCUGAAGUUAAAGGCAGUGGCUCAACCAUUGUAGGCUUUGGAAACUGUUUAACUUGAGUGCAGAAGGGGAGAGUGGAAUUCCAUGUGUAGCGGUGAAAUGCGUAGAUAUAUGGAGGAACACCGGUGGCGAAAGCGGCUCUCUGGUCUGUAACUGACGCUGAGGCUCGAAAGCGUGGGGAGCGAACAGG